AGUCCACAUGUCAGUUAAUGUCGGGCAGAACACUUUUACAUUACAAUUCGUUCCUGCUAAUAAUCACCACUAGAUGGCAUAGGAACGCUAAGGGGGAAACAACUCAAUGGGGAA